rnacentral:rRNA from 1 species
GCUUGCACCUGAUUCCUAGCGGCGGACGGGUGAGUAAUGCUUAGGAAUCUGCCUAUUAGUGGGGGACAACGUUCCGAAAGGGACGCUAAUACCGCAUACGUCCUACGGGAGAAAGCAGGGGAUCUUCGGACCUUGCGCUAAUAGAUGAGCCUAAGUCGGAUUAGCUAGUUGGUGGGGUAAAGGCCUACCAAGGCGACGAUCUGUAGCGGGUCUGAGAGGAUGAUCCGCCACACUGGGACUGAGACACGGCCCAGACUCCUACGGGAGGCAGCAGUGGGGAAUAUUGGACAAUGGGGGGAACCCUGAUCCAGCCAUGCCGCGUGUGUGAAGAAGGCCUUUUGGUUGUAAAGCACUUUAAGCGAGGAGGAGGCUUACCUGGUUAAUACCUGGGAUAAGUGGACGUUACUCGCAGAAUAAGCACCGGCUAACUCUGUGCCAGCAGCCGCGGUAAUACAGAGGGUGCAAGCGUUAAUCGGAUUUACUGGGCGUAAAGCGCGCGUAGGUGGCUAAUUAAGUCAAAUGUGAAAUCCCCGAGCUUAACUUGGGAAUUGCAUUCGAUACUGGUUAGCUAGAGUAUGGGAGAGGAUGGUAGAAUUCCAGGUGUAGCGGUGAAAUGCGUAGAGAUCUGGAGGAAUACCGAUG